rnacentral:snRNA from 1 species
GGAUCAUCUGGUCACAGACUACAGCAGUGCUGUUAACAUGGUGACAGGUUGAUUCAACUGAUCUGGCUGGCUAGGCAGUGUCCCCUUCCUCCCUCCCCACUCCAUGUGAGUCCCUCCUGAAGCUGCACCCUCAGUGGAAGAGGACGAUCAUUCCCAGAAGAGGAGGACUGGUCUUCCAUCAGGGGUAGCUGUGCUCCCCUGCUAGAACCUCUAAAAAGCUUUCAAGAAGUGGCUAAUGUAACAUCAAGGAUGAUGAUUAAAAAAAACAAAGCAAGGAAAUACAGAAUGGUGAGGACAGGGACUAUUUU